UACAUUGCGCCCGCCUGAGCUGGUGGGCCGCGUGCGCAUGGCCCUGUGCGGAGGGACGGCGGGUGCGCAGCGCCGCUGUUCGGUAGGGCCGCGUGCCCGGGGGCCCAGGGUGGCAGCGCCCGGGGGGGUGUUCGCUUCUGCCUGGUCGCCCUCUGAGGGCGGAUGCUGAGCUGGUGGGUCCUAGCGCUGGGGCAUAUUUCAGCAACUGCCUCCCGCUCGUGUCCUGCUGUCAGGAGCACUCUACCUACUGCCCGCCCUUCAGUGGCUGAGCAGCUCCAGCAGGGUCAAGGGAGGUAAAUCCUUCCCCCUUCCGACAUUUAGAGGGCAGCUGGUGGCUAUGGGAAAAUCAAACAGUUUAUAGAAAUACGUCCAGCUAGUAGUAAGAUACUGAUGUACACUCACCCCACCUCCCACAAACAGGUGGGUUUUACACUGAAAAAUAGAGGCUGGGAUACAACAAGACGACCUCUUAGAUUUACUUACAAUUAUUUAUUAACCUGCAACAGUUCUCAAAAUAGGCAGGCCACGACUGAGUUUCCAUAUCUGUAGCUCAUUCCACUCCUUUUAUGAAGAGGAAUUAAGUUCUAAAUGCCAGAGAGGUAUGUUUAUCUUCUAUCACCUCAGCUGGUCUUCAUGCUGAAUCUAUAGCGAAGACUACACCAAAAAGCUAAGAUGACCCAGCUGUGUUGUUCAGGGGUGUGAAAGCUGACCUAACCUCCGGUUUAGAUAAUGUGAGGUUGAGGGGAAGAAUUCUGUGGACCUAGCUACUUCCUCUUGGGAUAGCUACAGCAAAAGGAGAACCCUAGCACUGCUGUAGUGUUAAUUUACCUCCGUGAUCUCCAUCUGUUUCUUCUCCAGCUCAGCUCUAAUUUCUGUCCUAUUCUUUACUGGAUGCAGAAAUACCUUUUUGUUGUUGUUGACAUCCCUAGCACAUGUCUUUGUAAGAUCCGGGUAUGCCUCCACCAAGUCAAGCUUUUACUCCAGCUCUUAAUUUAAAUAAUAUCCCCAAACGUGUGCAGAGUUCCAUGCCAGAAGUCUGGUUCAUCUCUUGUGUAUAGGUGUUCACUUCUCCUAAAAGUUUCCCAUUGCUUAAUAAAUUUAAACCCACCCUCUUUUAUAUUUCUCUCCCUGAUCCAUAACUAGAGCUCUUAGAGGGUUUAAUAAAUACUUAAUAAAGGUGCCACUGAUAGCUCCUCCACUGUUUAUGUGUCAGCGUGGCUACUAAAUUAUAUUUACAUAAAUCAAGCAUGGUUUUUAUGAGCUCUGAAUUUUUAUGAGCCUUACAGUAUCAGCCAUGUGGAUAAGCACAAGAUCAUGGAACUUUAUUACAACUGGUCUGGAGUUUUUGAAUUAAUUGUUUUUCAUCAAAAAUGUCUAUUUGUCAAAACCAAAACUGUUCAUGCAACAGGGUCAAGUUCAUUAAAUUCCCCAACUGAAAAAAAGUUUAGAAAUUGUCAACAUGAAAAAUUCUGGUUUUCCAGUUAGAAAUUACUUUUUGAUUAGAAAAUAAAGUUAAUUAGACUGAAAAAAUUUUUAAAAAAGAAAAAGGUCCAAAAUAAAAAUGAAACUUUUCAAAAUAGUCAAAACAAAAGGUUUUAAUUGAUCUGAAACAAAAAAAUGUUGGGUGGUUGUUGGUUUUUUUUUUUUUUUUUGGCUCACAAAUAUUUUCAAGAUUUCUACUUUUUGUCCCAAUUUGAGAUGGGGAAAAAAUUUUGAAUUCUUUAAAAUAUUUGCAGGAUAGGAACACUAUUUUCCAUCCACCUAUAAAUUGUAUCUGCGAGUUCAGUUUGGAGUGGAUGGCAUGUAUGAAAUGAGGGAACUCACCAUAUGAAAACAUAUUAAUCAGUUUAAUAUUGUGUGUAUAUAGGGAGAAGCCUAGGGAAGAAGAGUUCCCCUCACUUUUUUCAGUGUUUACCAGAGCUAUGUAAGAGGCAAAAAUGAGCAGAGAGAAAUGGAGAUAGUGAGGCCUGUUCGUUGCUAUAAGACUGCAGAUGUCACCAGAUGGGCCUGUGGAAAAGUGACAACAUGAACAUAACUUGUACGUAAAUAAGUUAUACUGUAUGGGCCACAUUUCUUCUGAGUUAAGUAUUUUAUUAUUUAAGCUCAAACAUCCAUAAGGUUAUAUUUUUGUUUCACUUUAAUAGUCAAAUUGUACUUCUCUCAUGAACCAGUGCAAGAGGGACAUUAGUUGGUGCUGUAAAAAUACUUUAAUGUAUGUAAUUCCCUUGUGCACAAACUAAAUAUGCAUAGCAUAAAUAGAAAAGCACCUCUGUCAUCAGGGUGAUAAGGAUGAGGAAAAACACUGAAAUGCUGAAUAGACUGUGCCAGAGGGUUCACAUCUAAUCCAGCUCUUUCCAAAAGCUGUUGUUAUAUAAAAAUAGAAAAGAAGUCUAAUCUGUAACCAUCAUCAAGGUUCUAUCAUGGUUACUAAGUUUGCAAUUAGAUAUCAACAUGUUAAAAUGGUUGUAUUUAACUAUAAAAAUCAAUUGAUAUUUCUCUUCAAAGCUGUAUACAAUAAGACUGUUCCUAACAAUAUGUUUUAGGCUUGUUAAACUCUAAUAUAUAGACUUUGAACAUCAGAAUUCAGCUUACCAUUAAGCACUAAAUAAAUGUUUGUUUGUAUGAUAUACACACUAGAAAGCAGUAUUAUUCCUGUUUGUAUCUGUGAUUCAAAAAAGGAAAAAACAAAUGCAGAAUUCACAAUUCAGUGCCAGUUUCCACCUCAUUUUUCUCUUUCCCUUUCUGUUCUAUUCUGUGUAGGUUCUUAUAUUGCACUCAUAACUGUAGUAUUUGAGUACUUUCCAGAAGUACAUUAAAUGUUGUGACUAACCUCUGUCAUAUGUAGUUUGUACUCUCAUCUUCUCCCCAGGGGAAAAAUUAAAUGUGCAGUGUUGUGUUUUUGUAGGAGUUUUUUAAAAUGUAGACACUGCUAUGUUUUUAUGUUAGAGAAGAUAGGUUUAAGAAGCAUGCCUUGCACUUUGAGCAAAAAGUGGUAAAGUCU